rnacentral:lncRNA from 1 species
UCCUCUUAUAAAAGAAUUGGGAGGGAGAGCUUCCAGGCAGGUUCCUGCCCAUCUAAGGGACUGAAGCAUUUCUUGGGCUUCAAAAAGUUUUGUUCAUCAUCCAAGAACAAAUGUCUCUUAAAAAAAUAAUCUCAAAGAACUAGAUGAUCAUUAGGAGUAUUACAAGCCUAGCAACUUUGCAAUCAUUCCAGGCUAGGCACCUAGCAACGGAUUAGUUUCUCUAUCCAAG